rnacentral:rRNA from 1 species
GACGAACGCUGGCGGCGUGCUUAACACAUGCAAGUCGAACGGAAAGGCCCUGCUUUUGUGGGGUGCUCGAGUGGCGAACGGGUGAGUAACACGUGAGUAACCUGCCCUUGACUUUGGGAUAACUUCAGGAAACUGGGGCUAAUACCGGAUAGGAGCUCCUGCUGCAUGGUGGGGGUUGGAAAGUUUCGGCGGUUGGGGAUGGACUCGCGGCUUAUCAGCUUGUUGGUGGGGUAGUGGCUUACCAAGGCUUUGACGGGUAGCCGGCCUGAGAGGGUGACCGGCGACAUUGGGACUGAGAUACGGCCCAGACUCCUACGGGAGACAGCAGUGGGGAAUAUUACACAAUGGGCGGAAGCCUGAUGCAGCAACGCCGCGUGCGGGAUGACGGCCUUCGGGUUGUAGACCGCUUUCGCCUGUGACGAAGCGUGAGUGACGGUAAUGGGUAAAGAAGCACCGGCUAACUACGUG